ACGGAAGGCAGCAGUGGGGAAUAUUGCACAAUGGGGGAAACCCUGGUGCAGCGACGCCGCGUGAAGGAAGAAGUAUCUCGGUAUGUAAACUUCUAUCAGCAGGGAAGAAAGUGACGGUACCUGACUAAGAAGCCCCGGCUAACUACGUGCCAGCAGCCGCGGUAAUACGUAGGGGGCAAGCGUUAUCCGGAUUUACUGGGUGUAAAGGGAGCGUAGACGGCAAGACAAGUCUGAAGUGAAAGGCAUGGGCUCAACCUGUGGACUGCUUUGGAAACUGCCUUGCUUGAGUGCCGGAGGGGUAAGCGGAAUUCCUAGUGUAGCGGUGAAAUGCGUAGAUAUUAGGAGGAACACCAGUGGCGAAGGCGGCUUACUGGACGGUAACUGACGUUGAGGCUCGAAAGCGUGGGGAGCAAACAGGAUUAGAUACCCUGGUA
rnacentral:rRNA from 1 species